CCGACCCGACCCGCCGAAAGGGCCUGAGGCGGGGGGCGCCGGGUCCAGGGCCCUGGGGAAGGACCCCCAGCCGCUCGCCGGCUCCAAGUGCAAAGCAUUGACACGGCCCUGAGCGGAGAGGGGGCGCCCUCCUUCUCCCUCUCGCCCGGCGGCCGGGCCGCUCUGGCCCGCGCCCCAGCUUGGCCUCCGACCCCGCUCUCGGCCGCGGCGCCGCCCGGGGCCCCUGCACUCCGGAGGGGGCUGGAGAGAGAGGCCGGUGGGCGGGCAAGUCGGGAGGCGCGGGCGGCCGAGGUCCUGGAGCGGAACCCAGGUGGCGGGAGCCGGUUUGAGACCUUGGGAAUUGAAAGAACCAAACAAUUUGCCUGGGAUGGCACAGAAAGCCAGGCUCAUACAGGAAGGAGGAGAUCAUAGAGCAGAAAGAUGGCCAUGUGAAGACAGAGGCGGAGACUGGACUUGUGCUGUGACAAGAUGAAGAAUGCCAGGAGCCACCAGAAGCUGGAAGAGGUUGUUGUGAGCAUCUGAUCAGAUGGCGCAUGAAAGAGUGCCAUGUGGAACUACACAGGGCCACCUUAAUACAGAGGACCACCAUGGGACUACGUGAGCAACUCUUCAGAGGGGCACUGGGAUUCUGUGGAAGGCUUAAAAAGUGAAGAAAGUAGCCUGGGGAUACCUCAAGGCCAGAAGACAAGUGCUAGAUGAGAAACACUGGUGGGGGAACUCCAUUAUUAAAGCUGAGUGGUUCCAUAGCAAGAGCCCUCGAUGGGGAUUCAUGGUACAGAAGUGGGUGUGUAUCCCUCACUUCUCUGAGAAUGCCUGCAGGGGGCACAGGAGGCAGGGCAGGUGGCUCUUAGCUCAUUUCCAUCCUUUUGAUCUCUCUCCAUCUCACUCUAUCUGAAGGGGAUGCUUCAGCUCCUAAAUUCUUUAAUAAAUAAACAGAAUCAUGCUCAACAUGGGUAAGGAUAAAAUGAGAUGGACUGUUGCUGGAGGGAAUAUUAUUGUUAUAAACUACCUGAAGGGCAAUACGUAUUAAGAGCCUUUUAAAAACAUGCCCACACCAGGGUGGCUCAGUGGCUGAGCGUCUGCCUUUAGCUCAGGUCAUGAUCCUGGGGUCCUGGGAUCAAAUACUGCAUCAGCUCCCCACAGGAAGCCUGCUUCUCCCUCUGCCUAUGUCUCUGCCUCUCCCUUAUUUAAAUAAAUAAAAGCUUUAAAACAAUGCCCAACUAUGGAUCUAGGAGUCCACCUCCAGAAAUCGAGCCCAAGUAAAUAAGAUGCCAACAAGCCUUCACGCAUUAAGAUGCUCCUUGCCAUGUUAACAAUGUCUUAAAAUAGGGCAUUUGUUAGAUAAAUGAUACUUCCUUCUUGCAGUACACUAUUAGAGAGUCAUGAAAGGUAAUGUUUAUAAUAGGGGAAAUUCUUUAAGAUAUAAUGCUAAACAAGAGAAGCAAAACAAGAUUGUAUAGUUAGUAUUAUUACCGAGCAAUGUAAAGGAAGCAUAGAACAACAAAAAUUUUAAAAAAUUCAUGACAAAGUGUUCAUCAUGGUUGCUUCUGGGUAGUUGGGUUAUUGGGGACUCUUCUGUUACUUUAUACCUUUCUAUGUUUCCUGUGACUUUGGCAAUCAGUAUAAAACACAUAAAGAAACAUGAAGAAAAGGCUAAGAGAGAAAAAAUGCCCCGUGCCAGAAACAUGUGCGCUGGGACGCAGACAGUAGCCCCCUGAGGAGCAUUUGUGGCAGGGCCUGCUGCUGUGGUGCCUCCCCUGUGCUUGGUUUUGACACAGCUGGGGGCAGGUGAGCCUGCAGCUCCAUGGCCCGCAUCUGACUCCUCUCCCAGUGUCCACGGCUGGCUGCACGCGAUGUUGACUCAUCCCUGUGUACAUCUGACAUAUUUCCUUUUAAUUUGUAUCAGGAAUGUGCACCAACCUGUGUGUGAAAACGGCAGAAACAAUUCUACCUCUGUACAGGUUUCAUACAUCAGAUCAGAAAGGACCAGAAGAGCAACUCUGGAAGGAGUCUACUUUUAAAUCAAGUCCCUUUACCUGUCAUCUCUGUCCUGCCCUGCCACCCCAGCCCUCACCCUUUCUAUAAACAGGACACAGCUUGCUAGGAGACACCCUUUCAUGAUUCUCAAGGAAUGUCGGAGCCCCUCACACAUCAUUAGGAGGUCGUUGAGCCAGGCCCCUGCCUUUUGCCUGGGAGGCCAGGGGAUCAGUCAUCACGGCAGGGCCUAGUAAGGAGAAUUUCAACUGGCUCCAUGCUCAGAGCAGACCGGGAGGUGCCUCAAACAGAAGAGCUUUCCAAGUCAGGCUUACACUGGCAUUUCCCAGACAGGAUCUCAGAGACCUUUUCCUCCUCUCCUUUAAAACAGCCACCAUCAAGAUUUCUAUCCCUCCAAGUGGGAAGAGGAGAAUCAUUUUACAGCUAGAUUGAAAUGAAAAUGUUCUCCCUGCUUCUGAGGGUGGGGAGAAAAUUUACACAUGGCACUCUGUUAUAGGAUUCCGAUGGUAGGGCUCAGAAUAUACACAAGACAAACUAUAUCCUCGGAAACCUAACAUCUCCUUGUUAUUCUAACAUCUCCUUGAAUGGAAAAACUUUGGGAAAUGUAUCUCUAAACACAAAUAAGCACACAAUUUGGAUUUUCUAGAACAGUCCUGCUCUCAAAUAAUUAGCUCUGUGAUCAGAUCAGGUAUCCAGGAAGGCAAGAGAACUAACAACAUUUAUUGUUUAUUUUGUGCCAGGCAUCGUCACUUUACAUCUAUUACCUCACUGAAAUUACCCCAACAAGUCUAUGAGGUUGGUGCUAACAUUCCCAUUUUACAGAUCAAGACGGUAAGGCUGGGAAAAGGAAAAUUUUGUUCAAGAUGUCGAUGCCAAGAGUAUGGUCAAGAUUCUGAUUCUCAGUCCAAAGCCUACACUUUACCCACUAAAAUCCAUGCUGAUUUUUCAUCUUGAAACUAUGGCUACAGUACCAGUAAAGGGGUUUGCAGUUUAGCCUUCCUAUUUCAGAAUUUUUAAGUGGUUCUUGCAGUUUGGCAAUAGGGGAUAGGAGGCAGGACAGAGGCAGGACAAACAACCCAUUCCAAAUCCCGUGUUUGUCUUAAAAGAGAUUUCAGUACUCCACAAAUAAGCCAAAUUUGAGGCUCUCAACUGAGGAGAACUUUGAUGUCUGAAA